rnacentral:tRNA from 1 species
GCCUGGGUGGCUCAGUCGGUUAAGCAUCUGACUCUUGAUUUCGGCUCAGGUCAUGAUCUCACAGUUUUGUGGGUUCAAGCCCCAUGUCAGGCU